rnacentral:rRNA from 1 species
CCCUUAGAUGUCCUGGGCCGCACGCGCGCUACACUGAGUGUCUGAGAUACGAGUCUGCCUGGUCCGGCAAGGUCUAGGUAAUCGCUAAAAGACACAUCAUGCUUGGGAUCGAUUAUUGCAAAUAUUAAUCUUGAACGAGGAAUUCCUAGUAAGCGCAAGUCAACAGCUUGCGUUGAUUACGUCCCUGCCCUUUGUACACACCGCCCGUCGCUACUACUGAUUGGAUGUUUAAGCGAGGUUCUCGAACUGCUAGCGACUUAGCUUCGGUGAGGUCGCAGUGUGGGAAGUGAACCGAGCUUUGGUGUCUAGAGGAAGUAAAAGUCGUAACA